rnacentral:rRNA from 1 species
GGGUUGUGAGGUUAAGCGACUAAGCGUACACGGUGGAUGCCAUGGCAGUCAGAGGCGAUGAAGGGCGUGCUAAUCUGCGAUAAGCGCCGGUAAGGUGAUAUGAACCGUUAUAACCGGCGAUACCCGAAUGGGGAAACCCAGUGUGACUCGUCACACUAUCAUUAACUGAAUCCAUAGGUUAAUGAGGCGAACCGGGGGAACUGAAACAUCUAAGUACCCCGAGGAAAAGAAAUCAACCGAGAUUCCCCCAGUAGCGGCGAGCGAACGGGGAGGAGCCCAGAGCCUGAAUCAGCAUGUGUGUUAGUGGAAGCGUCUGGAAAGGCGCGCGAUACAGGGUGACAGCCCCGUACACAAAAGCGCAUGUGCUGUGAGCUCGAUGAGUAGGGCGGGACACGUGGUAUCCUGUCUGAAUAUGGGGGGACCAUCCUCCAAGGCUAAAUACUCCUGACUGACCGAUAGUGAACCAGUACCGUGAGGGAAAGGCGAAAAGAACCCCGGCGAGGGGAGUGAAAAAGAACCUGAAACCGU